rnacentral:lncRNA from 1 species
GUCAAGUGAUCUUCCCGCCUUAGCCUCCUGAGUAGUUGGGAGUGCAGGCACGUGCCACCAUACCCAGCUGAUUUUCAGAUGCUCACAUCUUUUUAAGGCCUCCAUCAUUCACUCACAGAGCUCAUCUGUGCCCCUGAUGUCAACCAGGACCUCUGUGGGGACAGAUGCCAAAUCUCCCCACCCAGUGACCCACUGGAAUCCUGCCCUCCAGCCAUCUGGACCUCCCCACUGGGUUUGGGAGCACCUGGACAUAUCAGUACCGAUCUCUUCCCAAACCUGGGCGUUGGGCCCACACUCAUGUGGCCCAUGGCUUUCUGCAGGUGUCAAGCUGUCACCCUCAAAGGGGAGUGAGCAUGGGGUGAGCACAGGCUUUGAAGGUAGACUACCUGGCCUCCAAUUUCGGCUCUUCCACUUACUAACUAUAUGAUUUCAGAUCGCUGCCUCUGGACGCUGCCUGGGUAGGGCAGUGCAGUCAGGGCUGCCUUGGAUGGUUCUCAGCUGAGCACCCUGAACGAUUCUCACUGGCAGUCCGACCCUCCGGUUCCCGGGCUCAAGCCCUCCCUCUGUCCAGGGACACUUACCUUCU